rnacentral:rRNA from 1 species
AGUGAACGCUGGCGGUAGGCCUAACACAUGCAAGUCGAACGGCAGCACAGUAAGAGCUUGCUCUUACGGGUGGCGAGUGGCGGACGGGUGAGGAAUACAUCGGAAUCUACUUUUUCGUGGGGGAUAACGUAGGGAAACUUACGCUAAUACCGCAUACGACCUACGGGUGAAAGCAGGGGAUCUUCGCACCUUGCGCGAUUGAAUGCGCCGAUGUCGGAUUAGCUAGUUGGCGGGGUAAAGACCCACCAAGGCGACGAUCCGUAGCUGGUCUGAGAGGAUGAUCAGCCACACUAGAACUGAGACACGGUCCAGACUCCUAAGGGAGGCAGCAGUGGGGAAUAUUGGACAAUGGGCGCAAGCCUGAUCCAGCCAUACCGCGUGGGUGAAGAAGGCCUUCGGGUUGUAAAGCCCUUUUGUUGGGAAAGAAAAGCAGCAGGUUAAUACCCCGCUGUUCUGACGGUACCCAAAGAAUAAGCACCGGCUAACUUCGUG